GUAAAGGACUGGGGCCCCGCAACUGGCCUCUCCUGCCCUCUUAAGCGCAGCGCCAUUUUAGCAACGCAGAAGCCCGGCGCCGGGAAGCCUCAGCUCGCCUGAAGGCAGGUCCCCUCUGACGCCUCCGGGAGCCCAGGUUUCCCAGAGUCCUUGGGACGCAGCGACGAGUUGUGCUGCUAUCUUAGCUGUCCUUAUAGGCUGGCCAUUCCAGGUGGUGGUAUUUAGAUAAAACCACUCAAACUCUGCAGUUUGGUCUUGGGGUUUGGAGGAAAGCUUUUAUUUUUCUUCCUGCUCCGGUUCAGAAGGUCUGAAGCUCAUACCUAACCAGGCAUAACACAGAAUCUGCAAAACAAAAACCCCUAAAAAAGCAGACCCAGAGCAGUGUAAACACUUCUGGGUGUGUCCCUGACUGGCUGCCCAAGGUCUCUGUGUCUUCGGAGACAAAGCCAUUCGCUUAGUUGGUCUACUUUAAAAGGCCACUUGAACUCGCUUUCCAUGGCGAUUUGCCUUGUGAGCACUUUCAGGAGAGCCUGGAAGCUGAAAAACGGUAGAAAAAUUUCCGUGCGGGCCGUGGGGGGCUGGCGGCAACUGGGGGGCCGCAGAUCAGAGUGGGCCACUGGCAGCCAACGGCCCCCGGGGCUCAGGCGGGGAGCAGCUCUGUGGUGUGGGAUUGAGGCGUUUUCCAAGAGUGGGUUUUCACGUUUCUAAGAUUUCCCAAGCAGACAGCCCGUGCUGCUCCGAUUUCUCGAACAAAAAAGCAAAACGUGUGGCUGUCUUGGGAGCAAGUCGCAGGACUGCAAGCAGUUGGGGGAGAAAGUCCGCCAUUUUGCCACUUCUCAACCGUCCCUGCAAGGCUGGGGCUCAGUUGCGUAAUGGAAAGUAAAGCCCUGAACUAUCACACUUUAAUCUUCCUUCAAAAGGUGGUAAACUAUACCUACUGUCCCUCAAGAGAACACAAGAAGUGCUUUAAGAGGUAUUUUAAAAGUUCCGGGGGUUUUGUGAGGUGUUUGAUGACCCGUUUAAAAUAUGAUUUCCAUGUUUCUUUUGUCUAAAGUUUGCAGCUCAAAUCUUUCCACACGCUAGUAAUUUAAGUAUUUCUGCAUGUGUAGUUUGCAUUCAAGUUCCAUAAGCUGUUAAGAAAAAUCUAGAAAAGUAAAACUAGAACCUAUUUUUAACCGAAGAACUACUUUUUGCCUCCCUCACAAAGGCGGCGGAAGGUGAUCGAAUUCCGGUGAUGCGAGUUGUUCUCCGUCUAUAAAUACGCCUCGCCCGAGCUGUGCGGUAGGCAUUGAGGCAGCCAGCGCAGGGGCUUCUGCUGAGGGGGCAGGCGGAGCUUGAGGAAACCGCAGAUAAGUUUUUUUCUCUUUGAAAGAUAGAGAUUAAUACAACUACUUAAAAAAUAUAGUCAAUAGGUUACUAAGAUAUUGCUUAGCGUUAAGUUUUUAACGUAAUUUUAAUAGCUUAAGAUUUUAAGAGAAAAUAUGAAGACUUAGAAGAGUAGCAUGAGGAAGGAAAAGAUAAAAGGUUUCUAAAACAUGACGGAGGUUGAGAUGAAGCUUCUUCAUGGAGUAAAAAAUGUAUUUAAAAGAAAAUUGAGAGAAAGGACUACAGAGCCCCGAAUUAAUACCAAUAGAAGGGCAAUGCUUUUAGAUUAAAAUGAAGGUGACUUAAACAGCUUAAAGUUUAGUUUAAAAGUUGUAGGUGAUUAAAAUAAUUUGAAGGCGAUCUUUUAAAAAGAGAUUAAACCGAAGGUGAUUAAAAGACCUUGAAAUCCAUGACGCAGGGAGAAUUGCGUCAUUUAAAGCCUAGUUAACGCAUUUACUAAACGCAGACGAAAAUGGAAAGAUUAAUUGGGAGUGGUAGGAUGAAACAAUUUGGAGAAGAUAGAAGUUUGAAGUGGAAAACUGGAAGACAGAAGUACGGGAAGGCGAAGAAAAGAAUAGAGAAGAUAGGGAAAUUAGAAGAUAAAAACAUACUUUUAGAAGAAAAAAGAUAAAUUUAAACCUGAAAAGUAGGAAGCAGAAGAAAAAAGACAAGCUAGGAAACAAAAAGCUAAGGGCAAAAUGUACAAACUUAGAAGAAAAUUGGAAGAUAGAAACAAGAUAGAAAAUGAAAAUAUUGUCAAGAGUUUCAGAUAGAAAAUGAAAAACAAGCUAAGACAAGUAUUGGAGAAGUAUAGAAGAUAGAAAAAUAUAAAGCCAAAAAUUGGAUAAAAUAGCACUGAAAAAA
rnacentral:lncRNA from 10 species